AUUGUAUAUGUUGACCGAAGGUUCACAGCAGAAAGAAUUGGUAACCAUCAACCACAAGCGAAGGUAUUUGUCAUUGGCUUGCGCUAGCCAUAACUGUUAAACACAUAGCAUUAGUCUCUCCCCUCUUUUUGUAACACACGAAACAUCUGAAUGAAAACUCAGGGUAGUCGGGAUGACACUUACAGAAACAACAAUAUAGAUUCAUCCAGGGGAGUUCAAAGAGGCCCAUAUGGUGGAACUUCUGAAGAUAAUCACGGUCCACAGCAUAGCACAGCAAGCACCUCAGAAGACCAAAACAAUCUCAAUAAGCAUCCAGUACCUGCUAAAGUGGAUCAAAAGAAUAGAACCACUACAGAAAGGGAAAAUGCCAACACUGGGAAACAUCAAUACCUGGAUGGACUUCAAAAGACAGGUGGAAGCUCAGAAAAUAAUCUUAAGGAUACGACCAAAUCAGUAUCUUCUGUGGUUGAACCUUCCAAAGAAACUAAU
rnacentral:lncRNA from 1 species